rnacentral:rRNA from 1 species
CCCUUAGAUGUUCUGGGCCGCACGCGCGCUACACUGACGAAUGCAACGAGCUUAUAACCUUGGCCGAAAGGUCUGGGUAAUCUCCAAAUUUCGUCGUGAUGGGGAUAGAUUAUUGCAAUUAUUAAUCUUCAACGAGGAAUGCCUAGUAAGCGCAAGUCAUCAGCUUGCGUUGAUUACGUCCCUGCCCUUUGUACACACCGCCCGUCGCGCCUACCGAUUGAAUGGUCCGGUGAAGCGUUCGGACCGUGGCCUUUGGACGGUUCGCCGUCUGUUGGCUGCGGGAAGUUCGUUAAACCUUAUCAUUUAGAGGAAGGAGAANUCGUAACA